rnacentral:lncRNA from 1 species
AAUUAAUUUCUUUUUAAGUUCUAUCACUCUCUAAUUAUAACUAAUUUAUUGGAAGAUGUGAAAUCAUAAACCACUUGAACACUAAUUCCUGAGGGAGAUAUUUUACCAAAUCAUUCCAUUACAAAGUGUUUUUUUUUCAUAGCAUAUAUUUCCUCCGUCUGAUAUGGUAUGAAUAUCUUACUAAAAAUAUUUAUAUUAAUUAAA